ACCUAUAACGCGCCUAGCUCCAUCCGAUAGGUAGGGAUUCCGACCCGCGGAUGGAGGCGGGGGACCCACCAGGUCCGCCGAGUUCGGACCGGGGCCUUCUGGCUCCUUGGGGUGAAGCCGCCGUUGUGUCAACGGAGACCGAUGCGGCCGGGUGACCUCUUCCACCCGAACCCGACAGCUGACCUCGCAGGCGUGUACACGAGAGGAAUU
rnacentral:sRNA from 1 species